UCUGGAACGCCUACAACAACAGAUUGAACAGAAGUUACAGAACUGCAGACUCGCAGAGUAAGACAGCACUCCUCCACCAAACCCUAUAAUCUUAUCUACCAAAAUUUAUAGUAUCAGCGUCAGGAUAAUUUCUGAGAACACCUAAAAUAAAGAAAACCUUCAACAGGCCUUCAGACUGCACUUUUCUACCAAACCCUCUAGGUACUAAUCUUACCAUCCAUUGAAAUUUGUAACAUCAGCAUCUGGGAAACGUCGAGAAACUACUAAAAUAAAGUUACUGGAGUCGAGAUGUCAACAACAGGAAUAUAACAAGAAGCAGGCGACGGUUAGGCGUUUCUAAAGGGAAGAGGAGUCUCAAAAGCAGCGUCAUUGAACACUUCAGAGAGAAAGAACACUAAGCAAGGAAAAUAAGCUGUUUUUGAAGGCGAGAGAACUCUGAGCACAAGCUAUAUAUCUGACAGGGAGAGAAGUCUACAAGAGAUGUUACUGAAGAAAGAUUAGUUUAAGAAAUGCAGAAAGUUCCCGAAAGGUACAGAAUUCUACAUAAGUUGUUCCUGUAGAAGAGAAAAGUCGAAGAAGAAACACAGCUAGUCCUGAAGGGGAAAGAAGUUUACACAAGUUGCUGUUCCUGUAAAAAAAGUAAGAAGAAAUACUACUAGUUCCCGAAAGGGACAAGUCUACACAAGUUGCUAUUCUUGUAGGGAAUAGUCUCAGAAGAAACAACUAGUUUGCGAAGGGGAUAGAAGUAUCAAAUGCUGCUAGUUUCUAGUAGUUGAAGAAAAGUAAACAAAUGCUGCUGUUUUUGAAUAAGGGAACUACUAGUCCCCCACGUGAACAGAAUAGUUGAAGAAAUUACUAGUUAUCCUUGUUAAAAACAUUAGCUCCUAAAUAAGAGAGAACUAGUGGAGGAGAUUACUAGUUUCUGUCGAAGAAAUAACUAGUCCUGGAGAUGUCCUGGAGAUGACAUUCAAAGGAAUUUAAGAAGUUUACCAACGCUGCUGUUCAUGAAGACAAGCCUCACUUCUCAACCAUUGUUCACCAAAAUUUUUAUUUCUGGAAAAGAUUGAUAUUUCUAGGAAGUAGCUAUAUAUACUUGGCUACUUAAUCUUCUACGUAAACCAAGAUACUUCCGACUUGGAAUUUUCUACGUAAACCCAGAUGCCUCAGACUUGAAAUCUUCUACGUAAACCAAGAUGCCUUUAUACCCUCAAUCUUCCAUGUAAUGCAAAAUACUAUAUACAUACAUAUGACUUCGAAUCUUCUUCUGUGUAACCCAGGAUGAUUACAGGAGGUCUGCUGCAUCUUUGUAAAUCAUCAUCAGGAAAAUUGGGAUGUAACCAAGAUGAAUCUCUGCUGCAUCUUCAGUAACUUUACCACAGCUGUCAACUAAACUGUGCUGUAACUACGUAACAGAGAUGAAUCUCUCCUGAUCAUGUAAUCAUCUUCAGGAGCGUUACCAAAAAGCCAUCGACUAACUUUUGCAACUUUAAGCCUUAUGUUCUCGGUAACAGCAGGGAGAAUGAAUCUGUUGCGCUGUUAAUCUGAAAGCCCCUGCAUCAGAUUUAUUGGGAAAUUGCAUUCUAUCCCCAAGAAAAUUUCUAAACCUCUGCUUGUUAUGGAAUACGCCUCGUUUAAUGUCAAAGUCUUGUCUUGCUCCCCUGUAAUAUCUUUGUUUCUGGUCCCGAUGAACAGAAUUCAUACUUGUAAACUAUACGAAUAUAAAAUUCUCUCGUAAAUAUAUUAAAAUCUAAUUU